AAAUCAUAACUACAUUCCAUUGACUAAUCACUGCAUUUUGAUUUUUCAUAAUUAAUUGGUAAUUCCAGCCUAAAGAUUUAGAGAGGAAAACUUUAAUAAUUUUGAUCGACUUCAAUAAGUGCUGCUCUUCAGUUUUUCUUUAAUGAUUUUGGUUUCCUGUUUUACUUAGAUACUUUCUUUGGUGCUCUGUUAUUGUUGUUCUUGCUGGUUCGUGUUUGAGCAUGUUGGUGAUGAUACUCUUGGCAAAAUAAUAUCCUCACGAGGAAGUUAUCCUAAGGAAGUCUGGGAAUGAAUAUCAUGCAGCCUAAGCAUAUAUUAUAUUAUUGAUCCUUAAGCAGCCCAAAAUAAGUGUGUUAGAGUCCAUGUUUCUCCCUAAUUACUCAAUGAUAAUUUCUAUACGUGUAAAUCUUUACUUUUGCAUUGCAAUUCACAAUUAUAUUAGCUUCUAUCCGGCAGAGAUUUAUAUUCACAUGUCUAUUAAUUCAAGAGAUGGAAGACACUAUGGGAAAAGAUAGAAUCAUUAUCAUUAUCAUCAUCAAUGAUUUAACGGUCUUAGAGGGCAACUUUGAAUUGGUCAACUUAUUUUUACUAUUUUAUUACAAAUAGGGAGUGCAAAAGAUUAAGAGACAUUAAAAAGUUUCCUUGUAAUUAUUUCAGAGUCAUUUUGCUGAAGUGAGAGUUACGUUGUACUACAAUAUAUAAAUCUAAGGAGAAAAUAAUUCAUAAUAAAGUCUGAAUUUGAGAUGUUAAAUGUUUAUACGAACCUACAGCUAAAAGAAAAGAGUUAUAAUAAGGUGUGAUUUUAAAGAAAAUCUGAUGAAAACAGUGACCUGUUGUUCUUAUUGGGAGAGUUUCUUUUUUCUGAAGUUUUAGUGCUACCUUUCUUUGCUGUUUUUUCAUGCAAAAAUAAAUAAUGCAAGCAUAUUUUUCUUUUACAUAACACAUUUUAAGUAAUAUUAAAGGACCGCACUUCUCUCUCUCCCUAUAUAUAUAUAUUAUACAUAAUGACUACUGAAAAUGCAAGCAUCAAAUAUUUUUGUAGAUUUUUUGUUUUGUAACAAAUUCAUCAACUUGUACAUAUGCGGUAUAUAAUAAUAAGUAUUAUAUAUAUGACAUAAAGUUUAUCAAGAAGACAUUCCAACUAAUAAGACGUCUUGAUAUAUAAUAGCACUAUUUAUCAUUAUGAUCAUAUAUAGUAGUCUAACUCUUUUUAUAUUUUAAUAAGAGUGAAAAAGUCACUCCUUUUCUUCGUUUUCAUUUUUUUUCUCUAUUUUUAAUCUUUGACCACUUUUAAGAUGGUUUCAUUGUAGUGAUUAGUAAUUAGUUGUUGGUUUCUCUUUGAUGAUAUGUAGUUAGAUGCUUAUGAGCUCAUAUAGAUAAAGCAAUCAAUCCGUCUUUGUCUUUUUGUUUUCAUUUUGCUCUGAUUUACUCUAACUACUUUAAAGAUGGUAUCAAUGUAGACAAUAAUACCAUAUUCUUUCCUCAUGAAUGAAAUGAGAAGCUUUCUUAUUGAUUGAUGAAGAAUAUUACAAAGAGAUGUAUACAUUGCUACAACAUGUAACAAAUAGUAACCAAAAGUAAUAAAACUAACUAAUUGAAAGCUAAGACUAACAACUAGCUGAAGUCAAUUGGAUUUUAAAGGAAUUGUACAUCACCCAAAGUAGAGUUCCUAAGAUGUGGGAUGACAAUCUUAGCUUUCUUUUUAUAUAUAAUAGAUUAUAUAUAUUUAUACAGCCUGACGAUGCUUAACUAAUGUAUCAUUAAUCGUAAUGUUCCUGCAGGCUCUAGUUAAUUGUUUUUCUUGAUUAUUGUUAAUUGCAAGAGGUAUGUAUGUUAUCUUAUUAGAGGAGUUUGAAUAUCUUAAAUACUCAUCCAUAGUGAAGUAGGUUGUGAGAUUAAAAUUGUGUAUUGCCAUGAUAAUGGAAGGUUGAGAACUUGUGUGUUUUAGUGAAGUAGGUUCUGGGAAAUUUAUUUGUGUGCUGCGGAGAUAUAAGGAAGAAACUUAUUGUGUGUUGUUUUAAUUAUUUGAUUCUUAGUUGACAGAUGGUUAGGUCACUAUUAUAAGGGAAAUGUUGCCUGAAUUCAUCUAGAAUUAUGUUUUAUUUUCUAAUAUUUAAAUUAUGUUGUGCUUGCAUUGUUCUUCUUUGAUUGGUAUAGGGAAGCUCUGUCAAAAUUUAAGUUAAAAAGAUAUAUUUUUUUAUGUAGGAUUUUAUACUUCCAAUUAGUGAAAAGAGAGAUCAGUCACUUUUUUCGUUUUGUUGAGCCAAUUUGGUUAUCAAAUGUUGGAUCCACUGAAGAAGAACGAGUUAAAUGGGUAUCAAAGCAUAUGAUUGAUUCAAAUCCGGGUCAGAUGUGGUUGUUGUCAUAUCAUAAGGGAAAGUAGUGGAUGCUUAUAAUAAUUGAUUUUGAUCACCAAUUGUACUACUUCCUGGAUUUUCUUCACAAUUUUCCACCAGAUGAAAUCAAAUCUCUCAUUUCUUGUGUCUUUCAACAUUUGCGCACAAAUAAUGUGAAAACUAAGGAAGUCGCGUAGAGAACUGUUA